GUGCCAGCAGCCGCGGUAAUACGGAGGGGGCUAGCGUUGUUCGGAAUUACUGGGCGUAAAGCGCACGUAGGCGGCUUUACAAGUCAGGGGUGAAAGCCCGCGGCUCAACCGCGGAAUUGCCCUUGAGACUGUAUCGCUUGAACACGGGAGAGGUGAGUGGAAUUCCGAGUGUAGAGGUGAAAUUCGUAGAUAUUCGGAAGAACACCAGUGGCGAAGGCGGCUCACUGGACCGUUGUUGACGCUGAGGUGCGAAAGCGUGGGGAGCAAACAGGAUUAGAAACCCGCGUAGUCC
rnacentral:rRNA from 1 species